GGGGCCGACCAGCAUCGACCGGACGAACCCUGUCCAUCGUUGCGAGCCGUGGAGCAUCCAGGCCACGUAAAAAGGAUGCACAACAACAACUGCCAACACGCAGUACGCUCUCGCUGCCUAAUCCCAGCGACGUGGAGUGGACCCGACGCCCGAUGAGGUCCACCCGCGCAAAAAAUCGGGCUGGUUCCAAAGCGACGCCUUACCGCCGCGGGACGAGACAACAGUCAGGCUGGCUUGGGGUUGGCGCCCGCCGCGAGCGGAUGCCCCAGGCAAGAUUGAGAUCGCGGACACGCUCGUAGAUGCGAUGGAGAGGACGUCUCGGCACGGGGGUGCGAAUCCCCCCGGCUCCACUC
rnacentral:tmRNA from 1 species